UAGGGCCUUGCAGGCAGGAUGGGCAAACCCAUAUCCCGAAUACGUGUUGAUUCCAUUCAAAAUAGAGGACAUUCAUCACUUCUCUGGGAAAAGUAAAAUACAGUCAACUUGCUACCAAGUGGCUGGUUGUCCCUUUGAAAGGUGAUGCUGUAUGAAGGGCUCUGCCUAAUUUCUGUUGCUGUUAAGUCGGGCAGUCAGCAGGAGCAGUAUUUUGGUCAGCUUUGGGUUCUUUCCUGAAAUGGCAUCUCCUACUACCAGCCUUGGCCUGCAGAGAACACCUUCUCCAUGAUGCUGGUACUUCCCUCACCUGCGUGUUCUCCAGUACUUUGAUAAACAGUGGGUUAUCUAGACUGUCAUGAGCUGAGUCUUGAAGAAUGGAUAGAAGUAAAACACAUAAAAACGGAUGGGAUCAUGUGGGACAUCCUAGGCACAAGAGAGAGAAGCAAAAUAAAAGACUGAAGAAUUGGGAAAUUUCAUUUGUCCCUAGGGAGUACAGUACACAUGAAGGGGAAUAGUCAGGUCAAUGUAUAUUUUGCAGGUCAUGUCUUCUCUCUUCAUACAUCAGGAAGAUGAAGCAACACUGAAUCUACAGCUUACAA